AAGAGCCAAGUUGUAAUCUGCCUCCUGUGCUCAAAACCACAAAUAUCAAGCCUAGGGGAAAGAGUCCCUUAGGGCUGACUGACCCACAUGGAAAAUUCCAGCCGGCUGGAGGCAACUGGAGUUCCACCAUCAACUUCCAUGAGUCCAGAACUUCACCCAUGAUACCAAGUCUUACUCUCCAUUAUGUAAUUGCAACUCCACAGCUCCAUGCACUUAGGACCAAUAACCCCAAGAACCAGUACUGUGACACUAUUUCCUGUCUGCCUUUCCGAUGAGGUGCAUAACUGCAA
rnacentral:lncRNA from 1 species